GAUGAAGAACGCAGCGAAAUGCGAUAAGUAAUGUGAAUUGCAGAAUUCAGUGAAUCAUCGAAUCUUUGAACGCACAUUGCGCCCCUUGGUAUUCCGAGGGGCAUGCCUAUUCGAGCGUCAUUAUCACCCCUCAAGCCUAGCUUGGUGUUGAGGCCUGCUGUCAAGGCAGCCUCUAAAAUCAGUGGCAGUGCUGUCAGGCUCUAAGCGUAGUAAAUCUAAUCGCUAUAGACACCUGGUGGACACUCGCCAGAACCCCCCCCCCAUUUUUUAAUGAUUGACCUCGGAUUAGGUAGGGAUACCCGCUGAACUUAAGCAUAUCAAUAAGCGGAGGA
rnacentral:misc_RNA from 1 species